UACGGGGGGGCAAGCGUUGUUCGGAAUUACUGGGCGUAAAGGGCUCGUAGGCGGCCAACUAAGUCAGACGUGAAAUCCCUCGGCUUAACCGGGGAACGGCGUCUGAUACUGGAUGGCUUGAGUUCGGGAGAGGGAUGCGGAAUUCCAGGUGUAGCGGUGAAAUGCGUAGAUAUCUGGAGGAACACCGGUGGCGAAGGCGGCAUCCUGGACCGGCAUUGACGCUGAUGAGCGAAAAGCUAGGGGAGCAAACGGGG
rnacentral:rRNA from 1 species